GAGGGUAUAGCUCAGCGGUAGAGCAUGUGCUUGGCGUGUGUAAGGUCCUGGGUUCAAUCUCCAGUGCCUCCG
rnacentral:tRNA from 1 species